rnacentral:lncRNA from 10 species
GUAAACUUAAAUAAGAGGAUAAAAAGCUUUUCUUGAGGACAAAUAGAAAAGACAUUCAGUAACUAAUCCUGAAAUCCCUUAACAUUCAAAGCAUAUUUGAUGAAGACACAUGGUGGGGUAUGUUGCUGACCGUUCAGCCAGAAGCCCAGAGUCUUGACUGAAGAAAUUUGUCAGCCUCCUUUGAGCUCCUUGAAGGGAUUUUUGUCCUCUGGGAUGCCCUUUACCAGUGGAUCCUCGCCAGAUUAUCCUUCUACGUAAUCUCUUCUUCACAACAUUUGCAUACCUUAAGGGGAAGGAAAAGGGAUGACUCAUUUGGUUUAAAACAGAAUACUCCAGGUGCCAAUAAUUUAUUUAUUGCACUAAAUUUUCAGGUUGUAUAUUUUCAGUUUAAUUCUCUCUGCUUUCCACCAAUGCAUGUGUACUUUGUAGGAAAGAAGAAAGUUGCACCAUCCCACUCCUUCUACAUAUAUCUCCAGACAAAGGAAAAACAGCUGGUCAUGCUCCAACUAAAGAUUCCCAGCAGACACUGCCUCCAGCAUUGAAGGAGACAAGACCCAGGAAUCAGAACACAGCUGGCAACAGAAGUCAAAGCAUAUUUGAUGAAGACACAUGGUGGGGUAUGUUGCUGACCGUUCAGCCAGAAGCCCAGAGUCUUGACUGAAGAAAUUUGUCAGGUGACUUGUCUGAAACUUUAUUUUCUCCAUUUCACAAUGAAGGGGUUAGACAAGAGUCAACAGAUAUUUGUUGAGCAUUUAUAAUGGUCAGAGUGGGAGGGCAUGGUGCUAGGAACCAAACUUUGGUACAACUUUCAGACUCCCUUCCAGACCAAACAAUAGAUAAUUUUAAUGUUUUUUUUUUU